AAACAUCAGGAGAAGAACACAGGUUUAGCUUUUCCAUUGGAAGUAACUCCUCACAAAGGGAGACAGGCAUGGCCAAGGAUCAGCCCAAGGCACAGCCUUAACCCUUGCAGUGCCUGGGUUGUGCCUGACAAAAUCCCCUUGUCCCAAGCACUGGGAAGGGCUGGGCAAUUGGAAUAAUGAACAUUAAACAGUUGAGGACUUGCUGGGUGCUGUGCUGCUGUCCUGAAUUCCCAUAAAGACACGGGCAGCUUCCCAUGAGGGCUCAUAUCAGCACAACAGGGGAGUUUGGCAGGGAUUUUAGGCCAGGCUGAUGCUAACUAUGAGCAGAUGAGGUGUCUGUGUGUAUAUAUGUGGAUGUGAAGGUGUUCCUCACAGGCUCUAAACCCCCUCAAAGCACCCAAAGUUUCCCCUGACGCUCCAGAGUGCUCCUCUCCCCUCAUGGUUUGUGGGUGUGGGGCUGGAGGGGAGAGCCUGCUCCUCCUGUGCCCCCAGGACCCCAAAACACAACCAAAGAGGCAUUUUCCCUUUGCCUUGAAAGCUGAGGGAGUCAAAUCCGGCAGAGGCAGGCUCAGGUCUCUGGCUCACAAAUUCUUGGUCCAAGUGGUCCAGACUUCAGCAGCACAGAGCUGGGGCAGCCCCAGCCCUGGCUCUGGGUUUCUCUGUGUUGGUGCAUGAGAGGAGAUCUCCAGGGAGAGGCUGCACCUCUGAGCUCCUGGGGCACAGCUCCUCUCUUUGUUCCCCCUCACAUCCCCAUCCCAACCCUCUGCAAACCUCAGGCACCAAUCCUGCUACAAUUCCUUUAUAAUUCUCUUUUUUUUUUUUCCCCCUAUAGAAACACAAGGGACAACCGCAAUAAUUUCCAAGAAGGAAAGGCUUCCCUCUGGAGAAGCCAAGAGGGACCUGCAGCAGAGUCCUGGAAUGUCACCCUGAGCCUACUGCUGAACAUUGGGAAAGGAAUGAUCAGUUGAUGGGCUGGGUUGGGAGGCAUUAUCCAAAGGAAAAAUGGGAAUAAUUUGGUGACUUCAGUUUGUGCCUCAUGAGAAGGGAGUCACUGAGAGCCAUGGGAGAGGAGACAACCCCAGCACUGGGGAUUUAUCUCCUCGUGAGGCUGGAGGAUCUCCCCAGCACAGAGACUGGAGCGGCCGGGGAUGGAUGGACGGAUGGAUGGAUGGAUGGAUGGAGCUGCAGGGAGGCAGAGCCGCCGGGAGGGAGCGGCUGAGAGGGGGAGAGAAAGAAGAGCAAACACAGGUCCAUUAAUCCGCAGUUAGUCUGCCUUUUUUGUUAGGAAGAUGAACUUGAUGAGUUAAUUAAGCCACAGCCUGUAAAACCAGUUUAUUUGCAUAGCAAACUCCUGGGCCAGUGUGCUGUGAGCGGGCAUAGACGUGCAGACAAUUCCGGGGAAAUUACAGCCUCAUUAAUAUGCUAAUCUGGUUGCAGGCCUGGAACGAGUUUUGGG